CACGUGCUUCCCCCCCAUCCGCAGGAGAGGGCUCAUCAAGGAAAAUUGGUCCAGGUGCGCCUAGGCGGUCCAGUUCUCCGGAAUGGUACGAUGGAGCUUCAGGAUUCCUUGCUGGAAGAGCGUGAACUCUCCUGGAAUGAAAAGUGGACACAAAGCACACAAAGAAACAAAACUAAGAGAUAAAAGAGCGGAGCGCUAAGACUUUGUGGGCUCUUCGCUGUCCUCCCUGUCCGUGUCGUCCUCUUGCUUGAUGACGAUGUGAACAGACCUUUCCCCGCUGCCUCCUGGUUCCUCCGAGUCUGUGGAGAACUUGCUGGCGCUUUCACACACCUCAUCCUCUGCAGAAGCGCCGAUGGGCCUGAGACGCUCCACGGAGGCCAUCUUCGAUUCACCUGUGGAACUGUCCCUCCUCAGGCUCUCCUUGCUGUUGCUUUCUGGGCUGACUUUCUCUGAUGUGCGGGGAAAUGGAAAUGAGAUUUGACGCUUUUUUUGUUGGUUUUUGUGCAGCUUUUCCUUCCAGCAUCAUUGGAAAUGGCUUCUGCUUACCUGACUUGCUGUUGGCUUGUCUGUCGGCGCUGGUCGACGUGUCUGAGGUCUUCUUGACUGUAGUUUUCGCUCUGGAUCUGACUCUAUUAAAAUUCCCUUCCAGGAUCCAUUGGUGCUGCAAACCCUCA